AGCGGCGGACGGGUGAGUAACGCGUGGGUAACCUGCCCUGUACACACGGAUAACAUACCGAAAGGUAUGCUAAUACGAGAUAAUAUGCUUUUAUCGCAUGGUAGAAGUAUCAAAGCUCCGGCGGUACAGGAUGGACCCGCGUCUGAUUAGCUAGUUGGUAAGGUAACGGCUUACCCAGGCGACGACCAGUAGCCGACCUGAGAGGGUAAUCGGCCACAUUGGAACUGAGACACGGUCCAAACUCCUACGGGAGGCAGCAGUGGGGAAUAUUGCACAAUGGGCGAAAGCCUGAUGCAGCAACGCCGUGUGAGUGAUGAAGGCCUUCGGGUCGUAAAACUCUGUCCUCAAGGAAGAUAAUGACGGUACUUGAGGAGGAAGCCCCGGCUAACUACGUGCCAGCAGCCGCGGUAAUACGUAGGGGGCUAGCGUUAUCCGGGUUUACUGGGCGUAAAGGGUGCGUAGGUGGUCUCUUAAGUCAGGAGUGAAAGGCUACGGCUUAACCGUAGUAAGCUCUUGAAACUGGGAGACUUGAGUGCAGGAGAGGAAAGUGGAAUUCCUAGUGUAGCGGUGAAAUGCGUAGAUAUUAGGAGGAACACCAGUAGCGAAGGCGGCUUUCUGGACUGUAACUGACACUGAGGCACGAAAGCGUGGGGAGCAAACAGGAUUAGAUACCCUGGUAGUCCACGCCGUAAACGAUGAGUACUAGGUGU
rnacentral:rRNA from 1 species